CCAACCACAACCAAAGUGAAAGCAAACACAGCUUGCACAAGCACAUCCAAACCAACGACUACACCAGUGAAAGGAGCAGCCAGCAGCAGCCCAGCAGCAAGGCCCUCAACAUCAACCGCAACCACACACACACUGAACGGUAUUCUAUCACUGUCACGGUUUAAAAUGGUGUGUUUCUAUCUAUCCCUGUUACUCUGUGGACUUGGAGCAUCAAGUUAUGUCUUCUAACUAUCUAACUUCUCCACAAAUAACACUAAUAAAUCAUCACACUUCCUCCUUCUGUUUCACAGAAACACAGAGCUGGCCAGAGAUGUACUUUAUUAACCACAACAACAUGUCGGCAGGGGCAUGAGUCAGUCUGGAUACACACUCAACCAAGCGAUGGUUGAGUGUGCUAUCGUUUUGUUUUAGUUAAGAGGUUUAAGUUAUAAGAGUUAAGCUUGAGACAAAACCAAGAUAAUUUCAGCAGGUGAAGUAGCAGGUGACACUACUGACCCAGGUAUGUGUUCUAACAAUCUGACUCUCACUGCAUCACCAACAAAUGUUUUCCCACGUUUUUCCGCAUUCAAAAAUACUUGCCCUUGCACAAAAUCGAAUUGAAAUUCUGUUUGUGUGUGGCCAGACAUAGAGCCACUAACCACAGCAAAGAAUAAGUACAAGUGUUGAGUUGAGUUGAGUUGCCUCAGUCCACAUGUUCCAACAGUGAGUUCAGACACAUGUCACUAUGGAGCAGGUAGGGGUUAGGGGCAGCUCCCUCAAGGACGCCAUGACAGUCAGACUGCGGAGUGUGGACAUUGGGGUUGGAACCCAGAACCUCUUAUCUUGGAGUCAAACACCUUAGGUAGACCAUCCUACUCUCUUUCAUCCUAGCAUUUAUAUAGAAAGUCUGUCAAGUUCUCUGUGGUUCCAGACUUAAUCCCAUGUGUGUUGUUAUAAUGGUAAAUGGCCUCCAUCACCCUUUGUGACCACUCAAGGCGUUGUACCAUCAGCUCAUGGAGGUCGCUGUGAUCUCUUGCAGCUCCUACAGCGGGGGUCCUGCUGCGGGUCCUGGUGCUGCUGGGCUUCUCCGUCCUGACCCUGGUGGUUCUGCUCCGCCUCAUUGGCUGGUGGAGAACCAGAGGUAACAGGGCAGCAACAGAAGAGUGGAUUGGUCUGAACUCUGCCAGCGACGCCCCGCCAGCCAGAGAACGCCUCGGCCCAGGGGCCAGUGACCAGGUCACACAUGGACCUGAGACACAGAGAAGGUUGGGGGGGAGUCAACAGAGCAACAUUUAAAAGGACCAAGUGGAUCCUGGUGAACUUAGCGAUGCGGCUACCUAUGAAAACAUGAGGGCCCCUCCCAGAUGUGCUGGGGACACUGCAGACAUGGGCGUCCAUUUUGUCACCGUCCACCAACUGUCAAAAUGACAAACGUC